rnacentral:rRNA from 1 species
GUGCCAGCAGCCGCGGUAAUACGUAGGGUGCGAGCGUUGUCCGGAUUUAUUGGGCGUAAAGAGCUCGUAGGCGGUUUGUCGCGUCGGCCGUGAAAACCUGCAGCUUAACUGUGGGCGUGCGGUCGAUACGGGCAGACUUGAGUUCGGCAGGGGAGACUGGAAUUCCCUGGUGUAGCGGUGAAAUGCGCAGAUAUCAGGAGGAACACCCGGUGGCGAAGGCGGGUUCUUCUGGGCCGAUACUGACGCUGAGGAGCGAAAGCAUGGGGAGCGAACAGGAUUAGAUACCCUGGUAGUCC